rnacentral:rRNA from 1 species
GAGUUUGAUCAUGGCUCAGAUUGAACGCUGGCGGCAGGCCUAACACAUGCAAGUCGAGCGGAUGACGGGAGCUUGCUCCUUGAUUCAGCGGCGGACGGGUGAGUAAUGCCUGGGAAUCUGCCUGGUAGUGGGGGACAACGUUUCGAAAGGAACGCUAAUACCGCAUACGUCCUACGGGAGAAAGCAGGGGACCUUCGGGCCUUGCGCUAUCAGAUGAGCCUAGGUCGGAUUAGCUAGUUGGUGGGGUAAUGGCUCACCAAGGCGACGAUCCGUAACUGGUCUGAGAGGAUGAUCAGUCACACUGGAACUGAGACACGGUCCAGACUCCUACGGGAGGCAGCAGUGGGGAAUAUUGGACAAUGGGCGAAAGCCUGAUCCAGCCAUGCCGCGUGUGUGAAGAAGGUCUUCGGAUUGUAAAAGCACUUUAAGUUCGGGAGGAAGGGCAGUAAGUUAAUACCUUGCUGUUUUGACGUUACCGACAGAAUAAGCACGGCUAACUCUGUGCCAGCA